rnacentral:lncRNA from 10 species
CUUUCUUUAGAAGGUCUCUUUUAGAUUUUUCUUUUUCAUCACACAGAGACGCUGCCAUGAAUGAAGAGUCUUUCUUCUUACAAUUGAAGACUUCAGCUUCAAAAAAAUGAGAUAAAUUCAUUUUCUCCUCUCUAAGCAGUUAUGUAUUAUAGCUACGAGUGUUAUGAAGCACAGCAUUACGUUUUAAGAAGCUCCUUCCCUUCCCCAUGAGAGAAAGGGACUCUACAGGAAGCAGAGGAGUGGGGCAGCGUGGAGCUACAGGCUCUCAUCUCUGGGAUGGUUCCAGCUGUAAUAAGUGAGCCCAAGACUCUAACGUAACAGGAAAACUCCACUGGCUCCAGUGAUUAGGAGGGACCCCGCCCACAAGGACGCUGUUGGCCCCUGUUGCCAUCUGCCUUUGGACGUGUUAGGAGCCACCAGAAGCAGUUCCUGGUCUCCUGACUCUACUGUGUCACUUCAGGGCUUUGGAACAUGCUUUCCCUCUGCUGGAAGACAUCUGCAGCCACCUCAUCUCCCUCUUCCUUCAGUGCUCUGAGAGGUUGUAACAGCUUUGGGACGCUCUGGGAUCCCUGUUCCACUUUGCCUUUCCCUGCCUUCAUCACCCCCUUAAUUAUGGACAUGAACAGUCUUCAGGUCAAAGAAAAAUGUGGAGAUGGAGUUUCCCCAUGUUGCCCAGGUUCGUCUAGAACUCCUGGACUCAAGUGAUUUGCCUGCUUCGGCCUCCCAAAGUACUGGGAUUACAGGUGUGAGCCACUGCACCCGGCCUGGAGAGCUGUCUUUAGGGUGGUAGCUGAAUGUCAUAUUCCUGGACAGACCUGACCGCAUGGAAUGGCACAGUCUCUGGGACCCCUGCCUGCCUUUUCUUUCUCCCUCUCCACUUAGAAACUUCACCCCAGACUGGGUUCAGGAAUAGGGCUUGGUACCCAAUAUAGGGCCUAGUAUACAGUAGGUGCUAAAGGUGUUCACUGAAUGAAUGAUUAAAACAUGAACCAGUCAGGGAGGAGACAAAAGAGGUAGGACUCAGGACUGGGCAGAGACUGGGGACACGGGUGGAUAAAUGGUAGAGGCUUAAAGGGGUUCUGUGUCUUGGGACAGAACAUAUAUGCCUGUGACUCAUGAACAUAAGCCUCAGCUUCUAACUGCAGUAUCUGGCAUAAAUGGUUCCAUAGUUCACAAUGUAUGCACAGCCUGACCCCCAUUCAAGGGGCAGGCAUCCAGGGACAGCAGUUCAGAGGACUCUGGUCUCAAGCUGGAGGAACCAUAUGAUCCCACGCUCCCAUUUUUAAAUGAGGGCGAGUGACAUUGCCAAGGUCACAGUGGGUUGGAGCAGGGCCCAUCUCCAGGUCAGGUUCUCCUGGCUCCACCUGGUCCCCUCCAGGGGAUUUAAAGAGGCAGCUUUUCCUGGAUGAAGACUGAUUGGUGACUGUGACUCAUUAGCACAUGAAACCAGUCAGACCUGGCAUGGCUCUGCCCACCCUCUUUCAAUCACACCCAGCCCUGGAGCCUCUUCUAACCUAUCCUCUAGUUCUCCAACUACACUGCCUACUAGCCACCUGGAAUCCUCAGCCUUUUAAAGAAGAAGCACUUGUUUUGCUUGAAUCACCUCAGAAGGCCCCUAUUUUAUUUUAAUUAUUUACACUCAAAUUCCGGAGACACUUGUGACAGCCCAGUGUCUCAUUCGUCUUUCCACAGACACAACACACAGUAGGUGCUCAGUAAGUUUGGUGUUGGGAGGAGGUAGGAAAAAGAUGAACAGAACUCUAGGCAGUCUGGGGAGCCCUGAGCUUUACUGAGCUUUGUUUGUGAGUUUUCUCAGCAAAGCCCCAAACUGGAUAGUCUGGCAAGGAGAACUGCCUUUAUGUGCCUAUUAGCCAAGCAAAAAGUGUUUGCUAUUAGAUCUUCAUUUAUAUCAAAUAUGUGCAAAGGACUAAAGUAGACUCCCAAGUGAAAUGAAAAUUAAGUUGUUAGACAAACUUAGGGAAUGGGAACUCCAGCUGGAACAAACUUAUGAGACACUUGUCUUUAAAUACUAAUUUUUAGAGAUGCAAGUGCAAACUUCCUUCAAUAAUAAUCUAUGACUCAAUUUACUUCCAUUCUAAUUCAGGAGUUAAAUCACACAUCCAUAAACAGUCAAGAGCAGCUUGUAACAUCACUGGCAUGUGGACAUCCCGUGAAUUGUUUAUUGAUGGCUCUUUUGGAGUAGAGUCUACAAAAUUACGUCUUCAGUUACUUAAAUUUUUCAAAUGAGGGGAAAAAGAAAAACACCAACCUUUCAACCAUACUUCAAAGAUGGCAGCCAAGGUGCUUUUAUGUCAUAACUAAAGCCAAAGAGGAUCUUAAAGAUUCCUAGCCUACAUUUUCAAUAUCCCAUAGUGUUUCUUAUAAUUUGAAGUGAUGUCAAAGUUUGCUCAAACACAAUUAAGUAUGCUUUAGCUUCAAUUUUAUCUUUCUUCCUUCCCUCCCUUCCUCCCUUCCUUCCUUCUUUUUUUCUCACUCUUGUUGCCCAAGCUGGAGUGCAAUGGCUCGUUCUCGGCUCAUUGCAACAUCUGCCUCCCGAGUUCCAGUGAUCCUCCUGCCUCCCGAGUAGCUAGGAUUACAGGUGCCUGCCACCAGCCUGGCAAAUUUUUGUAUUUUUAGUAGAAACAGGGUUUUACCAUGUUGGCCAGGCUGAUCUUGAACUCCUGACCUCAAGCGAUUCACCCGCCUCAGCCUCCCAAAGUGCUGGGAUUACAGGUGUGAGCCAUCGCGCCCAGCCUAGCUUCAAUUUUCAUACACACACACGCACCUGUGUGAUGACUGAUUACUGACAUUUUUUGCAUCACUUUUGCUAGAAGUUUUCUUGUGGGAUGAAAACUACUGAGAAAUUAAACAAGUAGGCAUCUCAUAUCCAAAUGUUGUGGACCACUGGAAUUGCCCUUAAAAUAAAAAAAAGAAUUACAAAAUAAAAAUGAUCAAAUAAGACAAAUAUGAAACACUUUUUUAUAGAGAGGAAAAUUGUUAUUAGUGGAAAUAGAAACAGAAACAGGUCCUAAAAGCUUUCAAUGUUUGGCUACAAUUGUUCCAUGGUGUUUAAGGAUAUUUUGGGAAAUAAGAUAACAUUACUUCAUAAGUCACUGGGGGAAGUGUGAUGAAGUGGACCAAGCUGAGACCUGGGUUUUAACUGUGUCACAUAAAGGGGGCAGGGGAAAGAAGGUUAAAAGCAGGGUGGAACUGUUUGAUGGGGUCUUGGGGGCCUCAGUGUUUGAACUUCAGCAGGGAGUGGGAGCCACAGAAGAUUUUGAAGAGGAAAUGGGAGAAGGUGGGGUCUCCGCUUUGGCAGAACACACCAGUAACCUGGUGGAGAGAGACUGGAGGAGGUAGACAAAAGGCAAAAAGCCCAAUUCAGAGGAUUUAGCAAUAGCUGAUGUACAAAAUACUGAAGACACGUGAGCUGAGGUAAAGAGGAUGAGAUAGAUGGGGAAGUACUUAUAUGGAAUUCUCUAAGUUCUUGAUGAAUGAUAAUGGCAGAUAGGUAGGAGAUAAAAGAGGAAAUGAAAAACAGCUUUAACCUACCUGGGAGGAUAAUGAUCCUUAAACCCUCCAGUGCUGAGCUGGCCUGUAUGGUAGCCACUGACCACAGGUCUCUAUUGAGCACCUGAAAUGUGGCUAGGGCAACUUUCUGAAUUGAGAUGUGCUGUAAUGAUACCAUCAAAACCUAUGUCAAAGACUUGGUACCAAAAAAAAAGAAUGUGAAAUAUCCUGUUGAUAAUGUUGUAUAUGGGUUACAUGUCAAAAUCAUACUAUCUGGAUAUAUUGGGUGAAAUAUAAUAUAUAAUUAAAAUUAAUUCUACCUUUUACUCUCUUUUUUAAAAAAUUUAGCUACUAGAAUAUUUAAAAUUGCAUCCAUGGCU